rnacentral:rRNA from 1 species
CCCUACGGGACGCAGCAGUGAGGAAUAUUGGUCAAUGGGCGAGAGCCUGAACUAGCCAAGUCGCGUGAGGGAUGACUGCCCUAUGGGUUGUAAACCUCUUUUGUAUGGGGGGAAUAAGCUUUACGAGUAGAGUGAUGACAGUACCAUACGAAUAAGCAUCGGCUAACUCCGUGCCAGCAGCCGCGGUAAUACGGAGGAUGCGAGCGUUAUCCGGAUUUACUGGGUGUAAAGGGAGCGUAGACGGAAAGGCAAGUCAGAAGUGAAAGCCCAAGGCUCAACCAUGGGACUGCUUUUGAAACUGUCAA